rnacentral:snRNA from 1 species
GUGGAUCAGGAAAACCAA